UGUUGGAAGAACGAAUAAAAACAGGGAUUGGUUUUUGGAAGGUGGAUUUGUAAGUAAUUAUUUUUUAUGGUAUUAUUAAAUGAAGGGUGGAAUAACAUGUGUACAUAUUGCCCGUCGCUCUCGUUAUUUUUGAGAUAAGUCGUAACAUAGUUGAUGAACUGGAAAGUGUAUCUUUUUGA
rnacentral:rRNA from 1 species